CGACGUGAGCAAUCUGCCUUUGGAUGGGGGAUAACAGCCGGAAACGACUGCUAAUACCGCAUAAUGCAGCAGGACCACAUGAUUUUGCUGCCAAAGAUUUAUCGUCCAAAGAUGAGCUCGCGUCUGAUUAGCCAGUUGGCGGGGUAACGGCCCACCAAAGCGACGAUCAGUAGCCGGACUGAGAGGUUGAACGGCCACAUUGGGACUGAGACACGGCCCAGACUCCUACGGAAGGCAGCAG
rnacentral:rRNA from 1 species